rnacentral:rRNA from 1 species
AAUAUUGGACAAUGGGCGCAAGCCUGAUCCAGCUCUGCCGCGAGAGCGAUGACGGCCUUAGGGUUGUAAACCUCUUUCAUCGGUGAAGAUAAUGACGGUAACCGGAGAAGAAGCCCCGGCUAACUUCGUGCCAGCAGCCGCGGUAAUACGAAGGGGGCUAGCGUUGUUCGGAAUUACUGGGCGUAAAGCGCACGUAGGCGGAAUAUUAAGUCAGGGGUGAAAUCCCGCAGCUCAACUGCGGAACUGCCUUUGAUACUGGUAAUCUAGAGACCGAGAGAGGUAAGUGGAACUCCUAGUGUAGAGGUGGAAUUCGUAGAUAUUAGGAAGAACACCAGUGGCGAAGGCGGCUUACUGGCUCGGAACUGACGCUGAGGUGCGAAAGCGUGGGGAGCAAAC